rnacentral:lncRNA from 1 species
GAACAAUUUGUCCCCAAACUGCACCGCAUACAGGAUCUUACGCCAGAGGAAAAAAAAAUUUGAAAGAGUGAUUUAUUGUUUUUUGUGUGUGUCUUAUCCUGUCAUUUUGUUUAAUUGUGAUCUUUCAUUGCUGAUCUGCAGGAUUUUUAGGACGCAUUAAUUCAAAUAAUACCACGAUGGGAAUUGAUGCAAAGCAGCAUUUCAUAAGCUCUUCGAUCACCGGAUCAGG